UCAGGCACCUAUCGAAGCCAUCGUUGUUCUUGUGUAGCAGACAAGGUCAAAAGGCAGCCAAAAACGUUACUUUCACCGACGGUUGCUGUGCAGUUUGACAGUAACUAACUCAGCAACGUUAACAUGAAUUUACACUA